rnacentral:rRNA from 1 species
UACGAAGGGGGCUAGCGUUGCUCGGAAUCACUGGGCGUAAAGGGCGCGUAGGCGGGCUCUUAAGUCAGGGGCGAAAGCCCAAGGCUCAACCUUGGAAUUGCCUUUGAUACUGAGGGCCUUGAGACCGGAAGAGGUCGGCGGAACUGCGAGUGUAGAGGUGAAAUUCGUAGAUAUGACAUAGAACACCAAUUGCGAAGGCAGCUCACUACGGGAUUAUUGACACUGAGGCACGAAAGCGUGGGGAUCAAACAGG